rnacentral:lncRNA from 1 species
UGCAAUAAUUAGCUUAUUAGACCUACUUACAAAUAGUUAGUGAGAUCUAAUCCAACAAAUCCUCUUCUUUUUUGGUAAGUGUAACUAAUUUUGGGCUAUAGAAAUCCUCAUUAGUGUACUCACAUUCCAGAGUUCGUUCUUAGUCCUUAUUGAAUCAAAGUAAAUUCUUCUCAGCCUUACAUUACACGAAAGAAACGAAAAUUUCGUCUACAAUGACAAAGAUCAAAACAUGAUUAGUAACAUCAACUGUUCUCACUAUCACUGACAGGCUCAUAGUUCUAGCCCCAUCCCC